UACACAUGGAAAUUGAGCAGAGGAGCACAAGCAAUUUCACAAUAGCUCCCCUUGUGGACAAAUUGUUUUGGAAUAAAAGAUACUUUAGUCUGGAAUAAUUAGUGCAGCAAUUAUUCUAGAACAGAAUAAGUGCACUAAUUAUUCCUGCAGUGUCUACACAGGGACAAACAGAAAGCUAUUGAAGAAUGGCUUAUUCUGCAAUAGCUAUUUUGGCCCAUUUCCUCAUAUAGGCAAAUCCUAUUGGUGUUGUCAGCAGGUAAUGAGCGUAUAGAUGGAGAAUGUGGAUGGAUUGCAUUAAUGAUCUCUUCCCAUUAGUGUUUCUUUGUGCUUCACUUUUGUGUGUUUGCAGAGUUAAUUGCUUAAAACUCCCUCUUAAGUCAGACACAUUUCUAAUCCUAACUUCUCAGUUCUUAACACAGACCCUUCAAACUCUUUUGUGGGUGAUCCACCACCAGCCAGCUGAGCAAAACCAUGCUCAUAUCUGACUGUAAAAUUGUUGAUUUUCACUGAAAUGUAUUUGUUUUUCUGGUAGGUGUAAAAGUUUGUGCUAUGUUAAAGACCAUUUAUGCAUUUUCCCCCAGGACUGCUUUGCAAAAUAGUUCUGCAGUCAUCUGAAAAGCCACUGGAAAAUUCGCCCUUGUGAUUACUGUUUCAAGGAGACAGAAGAUCCACCUGUAUGGAGAGCUGAGGGAGCUACUGGUGGAAGGAUUUAUGCAGUAGCCAUGUUUGUCAAAGUAUUUGGCACCAAUGACAUCAUCUUUGUUGAAAUGCUGAACAACGUGAUGAGUCCCAGAUGUUAAUGCACACCAAAAGCUGAGAAAGAAUGAAGUAUAAGAUCAACUGUAAUAGCUAUGGAGGGCUGUACUCAGUUUACCUCUGAUGUUCAAACAUGAAGAAUAUGGGAUUUUUUUUCAAGGGUCCUUAAAGCUGUUAAGACUUACAGUAUUCAUAUGUAGUUUCUUGGGAAUCCCACUGUAAUUCCGCAUGAAUUAAUGUCCACUUAUUGGAAAGCACUACCUACGCUGAUAUUUCUAGGGGAAAAAACCAACAACUGUGAUGCAUCUUAAACUACAGCCUAAAUGACCGGGGUGCUGGUAAACAGCCACCAAAGGAGCGUCGCCGCAGGUAAAGGAAAGUUGUCUUAAAAGCAGUUUGUUCCAAAGC